rnacentral:lncRNA from 1 species
UGCAAAAGCAACAGGAACUGGAGGCUACACCUUGGAUGGAAAGCAGGCUACUGAUGGCCUAAGUAACGACGUUUCCUUUGGAACUUCUAUCAAGGGCAAAGAGGUGGCUAACGUCGAACCAAGGACCACUGAAGGUCUUAAAGGGAAAACAACCGAGGCUACUGAGGGCCUAAGAAAGAAGUUCGAAGCAAUUUCAAUCACUGAUGGCGCUAGUAUGGGCGUCAACAUGGUAGACCUGAAGCAAAUUCCCUCAGAAAUGGA